AAAAUAUCCUCAUAAGUUAGACGAAAAGAGGUACCAUUUGUUUAAUUUAUUAUUUAAACCUUCAAUUUUAGAAAUAUUAAUGAAGGAUAUAUUAUAAUUUAUUUUCAAAUGGUGACACAGAAUCGGAGGCCACGACUGUUUACUAAAAACACAACACAGUGCAAUCAUUAAUAUGGUAGUAUACUGUGUGAAAUUUGCCCAAUGCCAUUAAUAUAAAAGCGGUCAUGGGAAACUGUGACUAAUUGAAAAUCUGGUUAAUAGCGGUCUUAAUCAUGAGGAUCCUAAGGUAGCAAAAUAAAUUGGCCAUUAAAUGUGGUCCGGUAUCAAUAAUGUAACGAUGGCCUCACUGUCUCUACAACUUGCUCAGUGAAAUUGAAUUACGCGUGCAGAUGCGCGUUACCUCCAGUGGGACGGGAAGACCCUAUGCACUUCU
rnacentral:rRNA from 1 species